GACGAACGCUGGCGGCGCGCUUAACACAUGCAAGUCGAACGGAAAGGCCUGCUUUCCCUUGUGGAUUGCGGGUACUCGCGUGGGGAACGGACGAGUAUCACGUGCGUUAUCUGCCCCCAACUUGGGUAUAAGCCUGGGAAACUGGGUCUAAUUACCGAUAGGACCGCAGGGUGGUGUCGGUGGUUGAAGACGAUUUUCUUGUGGUUGGGGAUGAGCUGGCGGCCUAUCAGCUUGUUGGUGGGGUAAUGGCCUACCAGUGCGGGGACAGGUAGCCGGCCUGGGGUAGUGGACGGGCGCAGUGGGACUGAGACACGGCCACGACGACUACGGGAAGCAGCAGUGGGGAAGAUGGCGCGAUGGGCGGAAGACUGAGGGAGCGACGCCGCGUGAGGGAUGACGGCCUUCGGAUGGUAGACUCCUGCCGACCGCGAGGAAGCCACCUGGUUGGAAGGGUGGUGACGGUAGUGGUAGAAGAAGCACCGGCUAACUACGUG
rnacentral:rRNA from 1 species